AGUUGCCCAAAUUAAAUAUUGCUUUUUUAAUCAUAUGUUAUCUCCUAUUAUUGGUAGGUUCAAAAAAGGAUAAGAAAGUUUAUGUGGGUCAACCCAUCCUACCCGGCCUGUUACAUAAAUCGGCCAAUUCUAUAAGAGGACCAGUUUUAACCAAGACUCUUUUUUCCAUUACCCAACCGGUCACCUUUGAAUAUAAUAUUAGUAUAGUAAUCAUGUUUUUGUCAAUAUGUACAAUAGUUUCUAAUGACUCUUUCUAGUGAUCUGAAUACGAUAAAGGUGCCCAUUGUUAUAAAGUUUAUCUAGAUAUGUUGCUUCAACAGACAAGGCGUUUCCAAGAGGUAUCACAGUGUGUCGAGAGCAUCAAUGGUGUCAGGAAAGGAAAAUGGAAAGCCACCCUCAGCUUUUACGGUCCCGUUAUUAAAGAGAAAGGAAUUGUGGCAAAGUUCCCAUGUGAGACUUUCUAGGAAUAUCACUAUCCGAGCAGCCCCAGAAGGACUACCUUGUUUUACUAGGCCAAAGUUUAAUUUUUUGAAGCUGACUCCACUAUCCAGACUAUCAUGAUGGAGCUCCAGUCAAAAACUCAAGUUGCUCUCGAUUUUGAGGGAUUUCAAAAUCAAUUUGUUGAUCUCUUGUAAUCAAAAUUUGGAUGAUGAUGAUGAUGACGAGGAUUAUGAAUGUAACGAUAGCAAUGAUGAAGGAAUGGAUAUAAUUGUCUAAAAUUGGUGUGAAGAGGUAUGGGUGGCCUGUAUACGUGGAUAAAAAAGCCAAAGAAGAAGAAAGGAGACAAAGAAGUGGUGAAGUGAGAUCCUGUACUUAGGAUGCCGAGUCUUGAAGAAAGAAGAAAUGCUUUUGAAAUUGAAAAAGGGUGGGAGAGAAUCAGCACCUUUUUUCUGGAAGUCUAGUGCAUUAUGAUUCAUACCAGUACACGCUUUCAGUAGUAAUUUUAAUUCCUAAAUAGGGAUUCUGAGGCAAGGUAAUAUUGUUAACCAUUACAUGAUUCAUACCCGUACACGCUUUCAGUGGUAAAUUUAAAUCCAGAAGAGGGAUUCUGAUGCAAGAUAAUGUUGUUAACCAUACAUGAUUCAUACCGGUACACGCUUUCAGAAGUAUAUUUAAUUCCAGAAGCGGGAUUCUGAUGCAAGAUGAUGUUGUCAACCAUGAUGUUAUAUUGGUUGUUAAUUGUAAUUCAUUGCAGAGUGUCUAGACGAAGUCCCACAUACGAAGCUCUCUCAUGUUCUAGGAGAUUUAGAUCAAAGUCAUAAAGUAUCCAACACAAUCGAGAAGCCAUGGUUGUGGUCAUCUGAUGAUAAUCACCGGAGUAAUCCAAGGGCCUUAAAAAUAAAAUACGUAAUGGAUUUUGAAGGCUAUGCAGAUGCUGAUGGACCUUAGCUUGCCGGAUAUACCCCUCCAUCGUCUCCUCCAUUCCAUGUUGGUGCAUUGAACCGGUCGGAGCGCUCAUUAUUGCAUGGCUAUAUGAGGGGAUUUUUUGUAUUUAGGAGGAAACUUGUUUUCAUUAGCUCAUUCUUUCUUUGGAUGGACUUAAUUUUAUAGUCAUAGUUUCUCAUCGGGUUUAGUGAUGAUAUAGAUUAUCUCAAAUUCCUGUUCUUUUCUGCAGGGCGUCAUCUAGUCAGAUUCUUGAAGCCUUGCAUAUCUCGCAUCUGGUGUCCUGUUGAUAGUGAAAGAAAUUCCAAAUUGUUAAAACCACUCACGGGAACUUCAUCAGGAUUAGCCAAGUUAAGCAAGCCUUGUGGUAGCGGAAUCCAGCUAAACAGCAGGGAGAGAAAAACGGAACAUCCCAGGCGACUUAAGUGGAUUAUGAGAAAACAACUAAAUAAUCAGAGUAUACUAUCUUUAUUUUUUUGGAUUUCAUUAUCACGAGAGUUAAAUUUAACAUCAUGUGUUGCCUAGCAACAUGAUGCUACACAUUUGUGGAAUUGGAGUUACUGCUCUUGUUACUUCUUAGACUUAUAUUUGCCGUUAA